CAGCUAGCCACCUACGGCACCGGGCCCCGGCAACCAAAAGCCACCGCCGCCUCCACACUGUAGUUCUCCUUGAUUUGGACCGACUCGUGAAUCAACCACCAUGAGGGAAGAACUCCAGCUAGGUUGGGAAGUUUCAACUUGUGGUGGAAACCGCCAAGACGAUAAGUAUAUAUAGUAGCAGUGAAGAAGUUAUGAGCACGGCGCAGCCCAUCAUCGUUCGAGAGCUACGUGUACACCUGAGCAGGACGGGAGGCCGGAUGAAGGGAGAGACGCAGGAGGAGGAAGAGGAGGAAGAAGAGGAGCAGCAGCAGCAGGGGGAGGAGCAGGAAGUUCGAUACAGAGGCGUAAGGAAGAGGCCAUGGGGCAAAUACGCGGCCGAAAUCAGGGACCCGAACCGGCGAGGGACGAGGGUAUGGCUGGGGACCUUCAGCACUGCGGAGCAAGCUGCUCGAGCCUACGACAGGGCCGCAUUCCAGAUGAGGGGAUCCAUGGCCAUCCUCAACUUCCCUCAUGAGUAUAAUCUGCGCCCCGAGGGCGGCCACCACUACUCCCAUGUUCCUUCGGCGACAUCUUCUUCCUCGCUGGCACAGCCUUCUUCUUCUUCUCCUUCUAAUGCAUCGGUCUUGGAGUUGGAGUGCUUCGAUGACAAACUACUGGAAGAACUUCUGAUCAACUCGAGCGAAGUUACACGAAAGAAUCGCCAUCAUUGAAUCAGGUCGCAGUCCCGGCUACACUGCUUCCAGAACUCAUGCUUCUUUUGGUGCAUAUCUUAUGUCUUACCAUCGCCAACAAUAUCAUCAAGGGAGUCCCGUCCUAAGGAAGGAAUCCAAAAGAAGGAGGACCUCGCCAUAA